rnacentral:rRNA from 2 species
AGUUUUGAUCAUGGCUCAGAUUGAACGCUGGCGGCAGGCCUAACACAUGCAAGUCGAGCGGAAACGAGUUAUCUGAACCUUCGGGGAACGAUAACGGCGUCGAGCGGCGGACGGGUGAGUAAUGCCUGGGAAAUUGCCCUGAUGUGGGGGAUAACCAUUGGAAACGAUGGCUAAUACCGCAUAAUAGCUUCGGCUCAAAGAGGGGGACCUUCGGGCCUCUCGCGUCAGGAUAUGCCCAGGUGGGAUUAGCUAGUUGGUGAGGUAAGGGCUCACCAAGGCGACGAUCCCUAGCUGGUCUGAGAA